CUAUGACCACAAGUUUCAUCAUUUGCACUGUAUGUGUGUGCAGUUUUUGUGUUUAAUGUGUGGUGUGUGUGAUUGUUGCAGUCGGUUGACUGAGGGUGAGGUUGGUUGGGUAUGGCAGAGCUGGUUAUGUGCUGUGGGGGAUAUUUUUGGUGAGUGGGAAGAAAAAGAGGGGAAAAAAAUGAAGUUCAUAUGGCAUGAAAAGGAAAUCUGGAGGUCUUGGCUUAAAUGAUGUAGACUGGGUUUUGGAGCUUUUGGUUAUAGGUUUGCUGGGAUAUUGCUGGUCAAGAAUCCUUCAGAUCUAUUACAAGGUCCUAUUACAGAGGGGCUGCUGGUGCAUUGCUUGUCUAUGAUAUAACCAGACAAGGAAGUUUUGCUCCUGCAUACAAAAGUUGACCUUGUAGUAAUUCUUGGUGGGGAUGGAACGGUACUUUGGGUAUGUGCAUUUACUUUGAUUUUAACAAUUAUUUAUAAAUCAGAAUCUAUUAUAACAUUAAAAUAUUAUUUUAGACUACUUACAUUACAGUUGCACUUUAUCUUGUUUCAUCCUAGAACAAGCUAAAUCAGAUUUAAGUCUGUUUUGAGAACAAAUAAAGAAGUUUUCUUCUUUUUGGUGAAUGACGUUUCUUUAAUCAGCAUGUUUUAUUUAGAUAUAUGAACUCUGUUGUGCCUUUUUUGUUCUUUUUGAAAUUGUGGGUAUCUUGAAUUUGAUAUUGUGGAAAGUUGUGUAGAUAUAUUUGCUCGGAAAUUAACAAACUUUUGGUAUCAUUCUCUCUUUUUCAAAAACUUGAGGGCACCCAUAAUGGUUGAAAUGUUCAACUGUACUAGCUGAUAACUUCUUGCUUUGGAGAUGAUGAUGAAGAAUAAAAUGUAUCAAAACUUUUAACUCUUGGACAGAUUUGGUCUUUGUACAAAGUGUGAUUAUUGAUAUCUUUUCUCUUAAACAAUAAUUGACAUAUCGGUAGUUUGUAUGUGGCCCCUAAUUUGUUAAUUUGUAGGUUUGAGUUUAGAAAUCAAAGAAAGUGUAAUUGUAGCAAUAUACCACUUUUGCUAUACAUCAA